rnacentral:rRNA from 1 species
CUGGCGGCGUGCCUAACACAUGCAAGUCGAACGGAGUAUAUUCGCUGCAGAGGUUCGGUCGAAGCUUGAGUAUACUUAGUGGCGGACGGGUGAGUAACGCGUGGGCAACCUGCCUCAUACUGGGGGAUAGCAGUUGGAAACGACUGAUAAUACCGCAUAAGCGCACAGCAUCGCAUGAUGCAGUGUGAAAAACUCCGGUGGUAUGAGAUGGGCCCGCGUCAGAUUAGCCAGUUGGCAGGGUAACGGCCUACCAAAGCGACGAUCUGUAGCCGGCCUGAGAGGGCGGACGGCCACAUUGGGACUGAGACACGGCCCAAACUCCUACGGGAGGCAGCAGUGGGGGAUAUUGCACAAUGGAGGAAACUCUGAUGCAGCGACGCCGCGUGAAGUGAAGAAGUAUUUCGGUAUGUAAAAGCUCUAUCAGCAGGGAAGAAAGACUCGCAAGAGAGAUGACGGUACCUGACUAAGAAGCCCCGGCUAACUACGUGCCAGCCGCUGC